UCUGGCGGCAGUAGCGCGGUGGUCCCACCUGACCCCAUGCCGAACUCAGAAGUGAAACGCCGUAGCGCCGAUGGUAGUGUGGGGUCUCCCCAUGCGAGAGUAGGGAAUUGCCAGAC
rnacentral:rRNA from 2 species